rnacentral:rRNA from 1 species
GUGGCUUAAUUUGACUCAACGCGGGAAAUCUUACCGGGUCCGGACACACUGAGGAUUGACAGGCAAUAUCUAAAUCGUUUAUAAUUCUAUUAUAAUACGUAUUUAGUGUUAAAUAUGCUAGUCCUUUCAUGAUUAUGUGAUAGGUGGUGCAUGGCCGUUCUUAGUUCGUGGAGUGAUCUGUCUGCUUAAUUGCGUUUCACUAAGGGCCCAUAAAUUCAAGGUAUGUUAGCUAUCGUUUCUCAAUUGACCCCUUGUCUUCGAUAAGCGCGUGUCUUUUAGAGUUUAAACAUUGCGCAUGCUGUUGGGUCCUGAAAGCAACGAACGUGACCGCAACGUCUUAUUGCCUUUAUCUUGNUAUAUUCUAAUUUAAUUANNAAUAACUAACAGAGGCUAAUUUAAAAUUAGACGGACCGCUGUACUUUUCUUAAACCAGAGGAAGGUUGCGGCAAUAACAGGUCUG